UCUCCGUAGGUGAACCUGCGGAGGGAUCAUUACAGAGUUCAUGCCCUACCGGGUAGAUCUCCCACCCUAUGUUAUUAUUACUUUGUUGCUUUGGCGGGCCGUUAGGCUCCGGCCCGACUACCGGCCCCGGCUGGUAAGCGCCCGCCAGAGGACCCAAAACCCUGAAUAUUAGUGUCGUCUGAGUACUAUACAAUAGUUAAAACUUUCGACAACGGAUCUCUUGGUUCUG
rnacentral:misc_RNA from 1 species